GACGAACGCUGGCGGCGUGCUUAACACAUGCAAGUCGAGCGGUAAGGCCCUUUCGGGGUACGACGAGCGGCGAACGGGUGAGUAACACGUGGGUGACCUGCCCUCAGUUCUGGGAUAAGCCUGGGAAACCCGGUCUAAAUCUGGAUAUGACCUCAUGACGCAUGUUGUGGGGUGAAAGCCUUGUGCGACUGAGGAUGGGCCCGCGG
rnacentral:rRNA from 1 species